UGCUUUUGAGACUGAUGUGCUUCUGCAAUAAAUAACCUUAUAGAAACUAUUAGCUGCUUGGCUCUUUCACCAAAGGAGA